rnacentral:hammerhead_ribozyme from 1 species
ACUAUCUGACGAGUCCUAAACAGGACGAAACGCGCAUCCUGGAU